GAUGAACGCUGGCGGCGUGCUUAACACAUGCAAGUCGAGCGAGUGAGUUCUUCGGAACGAUCUAGCGGCGGGCGGGUGAGUAACACGUGGGCAACCUGCCUCAUAGAGGGGAAUGGCCUCCCGAAAGGGAGAUUAAUACCGCAUAAAAUUAUCGAGUGGCAUCACAUGAUAAUCAAAGGAGUAAUCCGCUAUGAGAUGGGCCCGCGGCGCAUUAGCUAGUUGGUGAGGUAACGGCUCACCAAGGCGACGAUGCGUAGCCGACCUGAGGGGGUGAUCGGCCACAUUGGGACUGAGACACGGCCCAGACUCCUACGGGAGGCAGCAGUGGGGAAUAUUGCACAAUGGGGGAAACCCUGAUGCAGCAACGCCGCGUGAGUGAUGAAGGUCUUCGGAUUGUAAAGCUCUGUCUUUGGGGACGAUAAUGACGGUACCCAAGGAGGAAGCCACGGCUAACUACGUGCCAGCCGCCGCAGUAA
rnacentral:rRNA from 1 species